UUUUCCCUACGGGGGGCAGCAGUGGGGAAUAUUGCACAAUGGGGGAAACCCUGAUGCAGCGACGCCGCGUGAGUGAAGAAGUAUUUCGGUAUGUAAAGCUCUAUCAGCAGGGAAGAAAAUGACGGUACCUGACUAAGAAGCCCCGGCUAACUACGUGCCAGCAGCCGCGGUAAUACGGAGGAUGCGAGCGUUAUCCGGAUUUAUUGGGUUUAAAGGGUGCGUAGGCGGAGUGUCAAGUCAGCGGUAAAAUUUCGGGGCUCAACCCCGUCGUGCCGUUGAAACUGACGCCCUUGAGUGAGUGAGAA
rnacentral:rRNA from 1 species